rnacentral:rRNA from 1 species
GAUGAACGCUGGCGGCGUGCCUAAUACAUGCAAGUCGAGCGAAUAGACGAGGAGCUUGCUCCUCUGACGUUAGCGGCGGACGGGUGAGUAACACGUGGAUAACCUACCUAUAAGACUGGGAUAACUUCGGGAAACCGGAGCUAAUACCGGAUAAUAUAUUGAACCGCAUGGUUCAAUAGUGAAAGACGGUUUUGCUGUCACUUAUAGAUGGAUCCGCGCCGCAUUAGCUAGUUGGUAAGGUAACGGCUUACCAAGGCAAUGAUGCGUAGCCGACCUGAGAGGGUGAUCGGCCACACUGGAACUGAGACACGGUCCAGACUCCUACGGGAGGCAGCAGUAGGGAAUCUUCCGCAAUGGGCGAAAGCCUGACGGAGCAACGCCGCGUGAGUGAUGAAGGUCUUCGGAUCGUAAAACUCUGUUAUUAGGGAAGAACAAAUGUGUAAGUAACUAUGCACGUCUUGACGGUACCUAAUCAGAAAGCCACGGCUAACUACGUG